AGUUAGGCCACAGACUGGAGCCCUGGGAAGAUUGGCGAGUCGAGGUAUUUUGCACUUUUUAAUGUCUGUAUUUAUGGUAUAUCUGUGGGAUAUUACAGAGGGUUAGAGGUCUAAAAAUUACAUCACAUAAUGAGUUUCUUCAUCAAUCCUGCCUUCUAUCUUUUCUCUGUAGGUCCAGGUAUCAGUGUAAAGUCUGGAGUGGCUGGUAUUCUUGGAGCCCGUGGCUAUGGGGCAGGCAAGCCAGCUGGCCGUUAUCUUGGAGGGGCAGCAUACAGACCCACUUCAAUCAG
ensembl:lncRNA